rnacentral:rRNA from 1 species
UACGGGGGGGGCAAGCGUUGUUCGGAAUUACUGGGCGUAAAGGCUCGUAGGCGGCCAACUAAGUCAGACGUGAAAUCCCUCGGCUUAACCGGGGAACUGCGUCUGAUACUGGAUGGCUUGAGUUUGGGAGAGGGAUGCGGAAUUCCAGGUGUAGCGGUGAAAUGCGUAGAUAGUCUGGAGGAACACCGGUGGCGAAGGCGGCAUCCUGGACCAACACUGACGCUGAGGAGCGAAAGCCAGGGGAGCAAACGGG